CCACUGCACUCCAGCCUGGGUGACAGCGCGAGACUCCAUCUCAAAAACAAAACAAAAGUGUGUCCACUAAAGUCACUUAUCCAGUAACUUUUUUUUGAGCGUCUACCAUGUGCUGGGCACUGUUUAAGGGGCAUAGGAUACAUCAGUGAACAAAGACAAAGAUCCCUGCCUUGGAGCUUACAUUCUAAUGGAGGGAGACAGACAAUAAGCAAUCCACGAGUAAAUUACAGAGAAUGUUAUAGGAUGGUAUGUGUGUUGGGAAAAGAAAAAGUAGAGUGGGGUGAGGGGGUGAGGAAAGGCUGGUCAGAGGAGGAGCUUUUGGAGAGAUGGAAGACUAGAGCAAAGGCCUUCAGGCAGAGGUGCGUUAUAGCACUGAGCCCACUACAGCCAGGCAGUGUGAGAGGGCAAGAGGAGGAGGGGGUCAGAGAUGAUGGGCAGCCGCUGUGCAGGCUGUGUAGGGUGUUAGAAAGACUAUGGCCUUUACUGGGAGCGAAAUGAAUCACUCCUUGCUAGGUUGGCAGAGGCAUCACAUGAUCUGACUUCCAUUUUAAAACUGUAACUGCAUAUUAAAAACAGAAUAUGGGGGGUAAGGGUGGAAGCAGGAAGACUUAUCAGAAAGUAUUGUCAGCUCAGUGCUCUUGUGCAACUGUAGUCCUAUCUGCUUGGGAGGCUGAGGCAGGAAGAUGGCUUGAGCCCGGGAGGUUGAGGCCAGGCAUUCAUGCUGGUCCAGACGUCGUGGCAGCAUUGGAGGUGGUGAGACAUGGGCAGAUGAUAGAUACAUCUUGAAGGUAAACCAGCAAGAUUUCCAUGGACAACUGGAUGAAAGAUAAGAGAGAAAGUGAAGUUGAGAAUGACUCAAGUUUCUGGCCCCUAGCAAAAGAAGUAUGGAGUUGCUGUUAAUUUCGAUGGAGAAGGUAGCAUGGAACAGAUUUGACAGUUAGGAAUUCCAUUUUGAACAUGCGUAACUUAAAAUCUAUCAUCUAAAGGAAGAUGUUGAGUAGGCAUUCUGGAGGCUGGUCUGCAGAUAUCUGUUUGGAGGUCUUCAGCAUAGGGAGGUCCGUAUUUACAGUCUUGAGACUGGAUGAAGUCAUAGGGGAGUGAGUAUGACAGAAAGGGAAAAGGACCCAGGACUGAACCUUAGGGUACUUAAGCCUCUUAAUGCUGAAGUACCCUAAGAUUCAGUCCUGGGUUCAGUUCUCUUCAGUUCUCUUCGCAUUGCUUUCAUUUUCUCAGUGAAGUAGAAAUAAAGGUAGGGAUGAGUCACUGGGAGAGUCCUGCGCCAUGUGUGGGGAACUCUACCUGAGGGCAGGACCCUCAAUGCAGCCUCUAUGGGUAAAGAAAUAGGUUUGAGAGGUAAAGAGCCAUGCGCAGGAUCACACAGCUGGUUAGUAGCAGAGCCAAGCCUAACCCAGAUGGCCUGGUUUCCUGCCUAGCAUCUGACAGAUCCAUAAGAGACAAAUCAUUUCACCAUCUUGACAAGGUUGAACUCUCAUGGCUCUUCCUAGUAGUGUCUCAAUCUGCAGGUCUGUUCUGAUACAGAGAUGUCCUGCAAGCAGCUCUUUCCUCUCUGUCUGUGCUUUCUGGGUUCUGCCUUGCCUGCCUUCCAGCUGCUCUGCAUCUUUGUCCUACAAGAUCAGUGAUGCUCAAAUUUGAGAGUACAUUAGAAUCUCCUGUACGGCUUGUAAAAGCUGGAUUGUUGGGCCCCCACCCUCAGAAUCUCUGAUUCAGUAAAUCUGGGGUGUCUGAGAAUCUGCAUUUCUAGCAAGUUCCCAGGUGAUGCUGAGGCUGAUCCCGGAACCAAGCUUUGAGAACCACUGUGUUAGACUAUAAAUAUCCCUCUUGGAUUCAGGUUCAUGAAGGAACUGUGUUAGAUUAUAUACAUCCCUCUUGGAUUCAGGCUCAUGAAGGAACUGUGUUAGACUAUAUACCUCUCUCUUGGAUUCAGGUUCAUAAAGGAACUGUGUUAGACUAUAUACAUCCCUCUUGGAUUCAGAUUAUAUACAUCCCUCUUGGAUUCAGGUUCGUGAAGGAACUGUGUUAGACUAUAAACAUCUCUCUUGGAUUCAGGUUCAUGAACUCGGAAGGCAUCUAUCUGUCCUCUGUCAAGCCUUAGGAGUGCCUCCCAUUGAUUCUGUUCUAAGAAUGUUUGCUGAACUCAUUCAUUUGGCAAAUUUUUAUUGUGUGCCUGGCUGUGUGUUGGGAUCUGGGGGAUACAGCACAGAGAACCCAUUCAGCUGUUAAGUGGUAUAGCAGAGAUUGAACCCAGGCAGUCUGGCUCCAGAGGCCAUGCUGUUAAUCACCACCUUAAUACACCAGCACCAUACUGACCCUUCCUCAUUGUCGUCAGAGAGAUUGAAAGAGAACUGGAAAGAGAAUGACUUUCUCACUUUGUGAUUCAUUGUUAAUUAAUAUGGUAUCCAUGUGCCAUCUAAAAUCAUUUGGGCUGCCAGUAGUGCCACCC
rnacentral:lncRNA from 10 species